UCGAUGAAGAACGCAGCGAAAUGCGAUACGUAGUGUGAAUUGCAGAAUUCAGUGAAUCAUCGAAUCUUUGAACGCACAUUGCGCCCUUUGGUAUUCCAAAGGGCAUGCCUGUUCGAGCGUCAUUUGUACCCUCAAGCUUUGCUUGGUGUUGGGCGUUUUUUGUCUUUGGUUGCCAAAGACUCGCCUUAAAAGGAUUGGCAGCCGGCCUACUGGUUUCGCAGCGCAGCACAUUUUUGCGCUUGCAAUCAGCAAAAGAGGACGGCAAUCCAUCAAGACUCCUUCUCACGUUUGACCUCGGAUCAGGUAGGGAUACCCGCUGAACUUAAGCAUAUCAAUAAGCGGAGGAA
rnacentral:rRNA from 1 species